GGCGAACGCUGGCGGCAGGCCCAAUACAUGCAAGUCGAACGGCUCUUCGGAGCAGUGGCGGACGGGUGAGUAACACGUGGGAACGUGCCCUUUGGUACGGAACAACUGAGGGAAACUUCAGCUAAUACCGUAUGUGCCCCCAUUCUUAGCGGGAUGGGUGGGAAAGAUUUAUCGCCAUUGGAGCGGCCCGCGUUGGAUUAGCUAGUUGGUGGGGUAAAGGCCCACCAAGGCUACGAUCCAUAGCUGGUCUGAGAGGAUGAUCAGCCACACUGGGACUGAGACACGGCCCAGACUCCUACGGGAGGCAGCAGUAGGGAAUCUUGCGCAAUGGGCGAAAGCCUGACGCAGCCAUGCCGCGUGAAUGAUGAAGGUCUUAGGAUUGUAAAAUUCUUUCACCGGGGAAGAUAAUGACGGUACCCGGAGAAGAAGCCCCGGCUAACUCCGUGCCAGCCGCCGCAGUAA
rnacentral:rRNA from 1 species